rnacentral:rRNA from 1 species
UAACGUGUCGCGAUGGAUGACUUGG